GACGAACGCUGGCGGUGUGCUUAACACAUGCAAGUCGAACGGAAAGGCCCUGCUUUUGUGGGGUGCUCGAGUGGCGAACGGGUGAGUAACACGUGAGUAACCUGCCCUUGACUUUGGGAUAACUUCAGGAAACUGGGGCUAAUACCGGAUAGGAGCUCCUGCUGCAUGGUGGGGGUUGGAAAGUUUCGGCGGUUGGGGAUGGACUCGCGGCUUAUCAGCUUGUUGGUGGGGUAGUGGCUUACCAAGGCUUUGACGGGUAGCCGGCCUGAGAGGGUGACCGGCCACAUUGGGACUGAGAUACGGCCCAGACUCCUACGGGAGGCAGCAGUGGGGAAUAUUGCACAAUGGGCGGAAGCCUGAUGCAGCAACGCCGCGUGCAGGAUGACGGCCUUCGGGUUGUAAACCGCUUUCGCCUGUGACGAAGCGUGAGUGACGGUAAUGGGUAAAGAAGCACCGGCUAACUACGCG
rnacentral:rRNA from 1 species